rnacentral:rRNA from 1 species
UACGAAGGGGCUAGCGUUGCUCGGAAUCACUGGGCGUAAAGCGCACGUAGGCGGAUUGCUAAGUCAGGGGUGAAAUCCUGGAGCUCAACUCCAGAACUGCCUUUGAUACUGAGGAUCUUGAGUUCGGGAGAGGUGAGUGGAACUGCGAGUGUAGAGGUGAAAUUCGUAGAUAUUCGCAAGAACACCAGUGGCGAAGGCGGCUCACUGGCCCGAUACUGACGCUGAGGCACGAAAGCGUGGGGAGCAACAG